GAGGUUAUAGCUCUGUGGUAGAGUGUGUGCUUAGCAUGCACAAGGUCAUGGGUUCGACCCCCAGUACCGUAA
rnacentral:tRNA from 1 species